AUUGAACGCUGGCGGCAGGCUUAAUACAUGCAAGUCGAACGAGUGGCGGACGGGCGAGUAAUGCUUGGGAAUAUAGCUUAUGGAGGGGGCUAACUACGGGAAACUGUAGCUAAUACCGCGUACCAUAGGAUGAGCCCAAGUGGGAUUAGGUAGUUGGUGAGGUAACGGCUCACCAAGCCUACGAUCUCUAGCUGGUCUGAGAGGAUGACCAGCCACACUGGGACUGAGACACGGCCCAGACUCCGACGGGAGGCAGCAGUGGGGAAUAUUGCGCAAUGGGGGCAACCUGACGGAGCAAUGCCGCGUGAAUGAAGAAGGCCUUCGGGUUGUAAAGUUCUUUCGGUAGCGAGGCGUUAACUACAGAAGAAGCACCGGCUAACUCCGUGCCAGCAGCCGCGGUAAUAC
rnacentral:rRNA from 1 species